rnacentral:lncRNA from 1 species
GGCGCGGUCGGGUGAGAGGCCGCGGCGGCAGGUCCACCUGGGCUUGCGAAGGCACAGAUUCCCCGUCCACAGCUCACGACCAGAUGCACCAGCAGGAGUCCACAUCGAGGACGUCCUCCGGGCACUCCCACGACCAGCUUUGUGCCGUGGGACUGCUGGCCUCGCCGACCUCUUGCUUUAUCGACACAGUGACCAGGAGUUAAACUUUGGGAUGUGCCCGUGAUGUUGGACCACAAGGACUUAGAGGCCGAAAUCCACCCCUUGAAAAAUGAAGAAAGAAAAUCGCAGGAAAAUCUGGGAAAUCCAUCAAAAAAUGAGGAUAACGUGAAAAGCGCGCCUCCACAGUCCCGGCUCUCCCGGUGCCGAGCGGCGGC